CCGGCGGCGGCAUGGUUCGCUUCAAGAACAGGUACGUGCUGUGCGAGGUGCUCUCGGAGGACCCGCGGUGCCGGCAGUGCAUCGAGGACCGCGCGGUGGGCCUCGCCGUCAGGGACGCCGUCGCGCGGGCGCACGGGGACUACGGGCUGGGCUGCUGCUGCGUGUCCUUCACAGUGAAGUACCUGAACGCGUACACCGGCACCGUGCUGCUGCGCUGCCGCAAGGACUUCCAGCGCCUGCUGAGCUCGGCGCUGCCGCUCGUCCGGCACCUGGAGAGCCGCGGGCAGCGCUUCCCCUGCGCGCUGCGCACGCUGCACGUGGGCGGUACCAUCAGAACCUGUCAGAAGUUUCUCAUCCAGUAUAACAGAAGGCAGCUGCUGCUGCUGCUGCAGAAGUGUACGAGUGAAGAGGAGAGGCGCAGCGUGCGGCAGGCGGUGCUGAGCUGCUCCCUCACAGAAGAGCAGGCGCAGAGCGGGGAGGAGGAGGAGGAGGAUGGCACAGAGACAGACUGAGCAGCACUUGUUCGCCUUUGUUCUGGACCUGGCUAUCAUCAAAGCGAUACCAAGUAUCCUCCUGUGUUAAGUAAAGCAAGUAAAGGAUUCAAACCUUUGACUGCUCCAAAGGAGCGAAGCUCAACGUGAUCUUUGUGCUGAGGUAGAAGUGAGCUUCAGGCAGUUGCUGUUCUUGAAAGGGUUGUCUGGUGUUUCAAGUCACAAAAGCACUGAUUGUCUACAGGAGCAUGGACUACAGGGAACACAAGGUGGAACUACAUGGCUCAGCUCCAUCCAACCCCUUUUAAAACUCAUAGGUACAAUUACUGCUUAGAUAUUUAUUGAGGUUACACCAAUCAGUUACAGGAAAGUAGCACUGCUGCUCACAUCUCUUGAAUCCAUUGGAAAACAAAACACAACUUGAAGAUCUGCCCAAUGGAGGCUGCCCCUGCACACAGGAGAGCCUUCAUUGCCUGCGUUCUUCCCUUGUUACAGUGCCUGUGAGACAGGGAGGUGAGUUGUACCAGCUCCAACUCCUCUUUCUUGUCAACUCAAAGAAAACUUGACUGUAACAGUGUAGGAGAUAAUAAACAAUAUAAUGGUUAGACACUCAAGUAGUUACUCCUGUUCCAUGGCUUAAAAUAACUGUUACAAGUAAGAAACAAUACCAUUGUGAAAACAGUU